AUUGAACGAUGGCGGCAGGCCUAACACAUGCAAGUCGAACGAGUGGCUGACGUGUGAGUAAUUUCUGGGAACCUGCCCUCUGUCGGGGGAUAACUACUGGACACGGUAGCUAAUACCGCAUACCAUCGGAUGUGCCCAGAGGGGAUGAGCUAGUAGGGGGGUUAACGGCUCACCUAGGCGACUAUCCCUAGCUGGUCUGAGAGGAUGCACAGCCACACUGGAACUGAGACACGGUCCAGACUCCUACGGGAGGCAGCAGUGGGGAAUAUUGCACAAUGGGCGCAAGCCUGAUGCAGCCAUGCCGCGUGUAUGAAGAAGGCCUUCGGGUUGUAAAGUACUUUCAGCGAGGAGGCGUUACUCGCAGAAGAAGCAUCGGCUAACUCCGUGCCAGCCGCCGCGGUAAUUC
rnacentral:rRNA from 1 species